rnacentral:tRNA from 1 species
GCGGGUAUAGUUUAGUGGGGAUU